CCCCUUCCUUCCGUGGCUUAACCACUAGCUUCCCCUGUCAAUCUUGCAUCUUCUUGUCUGCGUUCUCUUCUGUCCGAUUGUUGCUGCUCGAUCGUUGCCACCGUUGGUCCUUGCACUAUUGACACAGAUAUGUGGAUUCUAACAGGAAAGGCUAUUCUGUGGACUUUCUGGUUCCGGCAGCAAAUCCAUCCAGCAACAACAGUGCUAGGAAUUAAGGACUCUGAUUCGAGAUGAGCGUCUCGACUUUGGAUUGCUUGAUUAGACCUUCUAUUUGAGACGAGUAUCUUGACCUAUCUAUUUUGAUAUGUCUUGUUGAUAUGUUUAGUAGAUUUUAGUAAGUAGCAAUAAUUAUGUUUAUAUCUGCAUCGGCAUGUCACUAUUUGUUUCCGAGCAUGAUUUGUUUGUUACUUGUUUAGCGUUCAUGCCCUAUUUAUUAUUUAUGUUAUGGAAGUAGUGGCAUGCCAUGCUUUAUGAUAUACCGGACUGGUUAGAUACGAUAGCUGACAUGUGUACCUGGAUCAUAUUAUUUGAUGCACGUAUAUGGUACAUGUUUUUAUGGAGGUAGAUAGGAUCAGGAUAUUUAUAUGCUUAGUGUCAUGCACCAUCUCGCAUGAUUGCAUUUCUGCGCGAUAGUUGGCUCCAUUAUUGUUGAGCGCAUCACCAGUUACAUGGAUCUGCACACACCACCACUCACGGGUUAGUGGUAUAUCAGACAGGGUGUCGUGCUGGCUCUGUUAGUGCUCCAUUGGUCCACUCAUGGGUAGCGUGACGUAGCGUGUUAGCACGUUAGGGGGCCCUUCAUUGGAUUGUCUCAGGGAGAUAAGAGCAUUGAGCUCCCCCACUUAUGAUUUGGGGUAGGAGGAUAGGUAUACUCCGACAGCAUC